rnacentral:rRNA from 1 species
CGGGUCUCCACAAGGGGGCCAGCGGCAGACGGGUGAGUAACACGUGGGCAACCUGCCCAGGGAUUGGGAAUAACCCCGGGAAACCGGGGCUAAUACCGGAUGAAGUCGGUUGGGGGCAUCCCCGGCCGAGCAAAGGUGCCGAGAGGUGCCGUCCCUGGNUGGGCCCGCGGGCCAUUAGCUAGUUGGAGGGGUAACGGCCCACCAAGGCGACGAUGGCUAGCCGGCCUAAGAGGGUGGUCGGCCACACUGGGACUGAGACACGGCCCAGACUCCUACGGGAGGCAGCAGUAGGGAAUUUUGGUCAAUGGGGGAAACCCUGAACCAGCGACGCCGCGUGUGCGACGAAGGCCUUCGGGUUGUAAAGCACUGUCGGCGGGGACGAAGUCUCCGGUGAGAGCCGGAGGUGACGGUACCCGCAGAGGAAGCCCCGGCUAACUACGUGCCAGCAGCCGCGGUAAUACGUAGGGGGCGAGCGUUGUCCGGAAUUACUGGGCGUAAAGGGCGUCUAGGUGGCACGGUGCGUCGGGAGUGAAAUACGCGGGCUCAACCUGCGGCACGCUCUCGAAACGGUCGAGCUGGAGGGCCGGAGAGGGAAGCGGAAUUGCCGGUGUAGCGGUGAAAUGCGUAGAGAUCGGCAGGAACACCAGUGGCGAAGGCGGCUUCCUGGACGGUACCUGACACUGAAGCGCGAAAGCGUGGGGAGCGAACGGGAUUAGAUACCCCGGUAGUCCACGCCGUAAACGAUGGGUGCUAGGUGUGGCGGGUAUCGACCCCCGCCGUGCCGGAGUUAACACACUAAGCACCCCGCCUGGGGAGUACGGCCGCAAGGCUGAAACUCAAAGGAAUUGACGGGGGCCCGCACAAGCAGUGGAGCAUGUGGUUUAAUUCGAAGCAACGCGAAGAACCUUACCCGGGCUUGACAUCCCUGGAAGUGCGCAGAGAUGCGUACGCCCUUCGGGGCCAGGAGACAGGUGCUGCAUGGUUGUCGUCAGCUCGUGUCGUGAGAUGUUGGGUUAAGUCCCGCAACGAGCGCAACCCUCGUCCUGUGUUACCACCGCAAGGGGGACUCACAGGAGACUGCCGGGGUCGACCCGGAGGAAGGUGGGGAUGACGUCAAAUCCUCAUGGCCCUUAUGUCCGGGGCUACACACGUGCUACAAUGGCCGGCACAACGGGCAGCGAAGGGGCGACCCGGAGCGAAUCCUCAAAGCCGGUCUCAAUUGGGAUCGCAGGCUGCAACUCGCCUGCGUGAACUUGGAAUUGCUAGUA